rnacentral:rRNA from 1 species
AGAGUUUGAUCAUGGCUCAGAUUGAACGCUGGCGGCAAGCCUAACACAUGCAAGUCGAGCGGCAGCGAAAGAAAGCUUGCUUUCUUGUCGGCGAGCGGCAAACGGGUGAGUAAUAUCUGGGGAUCUACCCAAAAGAGGGGGAUAACUACUAGAAAUGGUAGCUAAUACCGCAUAAUGUUGAAAAACCAAAGUGGGGGACCAUUCCGGCCUCAUGCUUUUGGAUGAACCCAGACGAGAUUAGCUUGUUGGUAGAGUAAUAGCUUACCAAGGCAAA